AUUGAACGCUGGCGGCAGGCUUAACCCAUGCAAGUCUAGCGAGCGGCGGACGGGUGAGAAAUGUCUGGGAAACUGCCUGGUAGAGGGGGAUAAAUACUGGACACGGUAGCUAAUACCGCAUACCAUCAGAUGUGCCCAUAUGGGAUUAGCUUGUAGGUGGGGUAAUGGCUCACCUAGGCGACGAUCCCUCGCUGGUCUGAGAGGAUGACCAGCCACACUGGAACUGAGACACGGUCCAGACUCCUACGGGAGGCAGCAGUGGGGAAUAUUGCACAAUGGGCGCAAGCCUGAUGCAGCCAUGCCGCGUGUGUGAAGAAGGCCUUCGGGUUGUAAAGCACUUUCAGCGAGGAGGCGUUACUCGCAGAAGAAGCACCGGCUAACUCCGUGCCAGCAGCCGCGGUAAUAC
rnacentral:rRNA from 1 species